GGUUAAGCGACUAAGCGUACACGGUGGAUGCCCUGGCAGUCAGAGGCGAUGAAGGACGUGCUAAUCUGCGAUAAGCGUCGGUAAGGUGAUAUGAACCGUUAUAACCGGCGAUUUCCGAAUGGGGAAACCCAGUGUGUUUCGACACACUAUCAUUAACUGAAUCCAUAGGUUAAUGAGGCGAACCGGGGGAACUGAAACAUCUAAGUACCCCGAGGAAAAGAAAUCAACCGAGAUUCCCCCAGUAGCGGCGAGCGAACGGGGAGCAGCCCAGAGCCUGAAUCAGUGUGUGUGUUAGUGGAAGCGUCUGGAAAGGCGCGCGAUACAGGGUGACAGCCCCGUACACAAAAAUGCACAUGCUGUGAGCUCGAUGAGUAGGGCGGGACACGUGGUAUCCUGUCUGAAUAUGGGGGGACCAUCCUCCAAGGCUAAAUACUCCUGACUGACCGAUAGUGAACCAGUACCGUGAGGGAAAGGCGAAAAGAACCCCGGCGAGGGGAGUGAAAAAGAACCUGAAACCGUGUACGUACAAGCAGUGGGAGCACGCUUAGGCGUGUGACUGCGUACCUUUUGUAUAAUGGGUCAGCGACUUAUAUUCUGUAGCAAGGUUAACCGAAUAGGGGAGCCGAAGGGAAACCGAGUCUUAACUGGGCGUUAAGUUGCAGGGUAUAGACCCGAAACCCGGUGAUCUAGCCAUGGGCAGGUUGAAGGUUGGGUAACACUAACUGGAGGACCGAACCGACUAAUGUUGAAAAAUUAGCGGAUGACUUGUGGCUGGGGGUGAAAGGCCAAUCAAACCGGGAGAUAGCUGGUUCUCCCCGAAAGCUAUUUAGGUAGCGCCUCGUGAAUUCAUCUCCGGGGGUAGAGCACUGUUUCGGCAAGGGGGUCAUCCCGACUUACCAACCCGAUGCAAACUGCGAAUACCGGAGAAUGUUAUCACGGGAGACACACGGCGGGUGCUAACGUCCGUCGUGAAGAGGGAAACAACCCAGACCGCCAGCUAAGGUCCCAAAGUCAUGGUUAAGUGGGAAACGAUGUGGGAAGGCCCAGACAGCCAGGAUGUUGGCUUAGAAGCAGCCAUCAUUUAAAGAAAGCGUAAUAGCUCACUGGUCGAGUCGGCCUGCGCGGAAGAUGUAACGGGGCUAAACCAUGCACCGAAGCUGCGGCAGCGACGCUUAUGCGUUGUUGGGUAGGGGAGCGUUCUGUAAGCCUGUGAAGGUGUGCUGUGAGGCAUGCUGGAGGUAUCAGAAGUGCGAAUGCUGACAUAAGUAACGAUAAAGCGGGUGAAAAGCCCGCUCGCCGGAAGACCAAGGGUUCCUGUCCAACGUUAAUCGGGGCAGGGUGAGUCGACCCCUAAGGCGAGGCCGAAAGGCGUAGUCGAUGGGAAACAGGUUAAUAUUCCUGUACUUGGUGUUACUGCGAAGGGGGGACGGAGAAGGCUAUGUUGGCCGGGCGACGGUUGUCCCGGUUUAAGCGUGUAGGCUGGUUUUCCAGGCAAAUCCGGAAAAUCAAGGCUGAGGCGUGAUGACGAGGCACUACGGUGCUGAAGCAACAAAUGCCCUGCUUCCAGGAAAAGCCUCUAAGCAUCAGGUAACAUCAAAUCGUACCCCAAACCGACACAGGUGGUCAGGUAGAGAAUACCAAGGCGCUUGAGAGAACUCGGGUGAAGGAACUAGGCAAAAUGGUGCCGUAACUUCGGGAGAAGGCACGCUGAUAUGUAGGUGAAGUCCCUCGCGGAUGGAGCUGAAAUCAGUCGAAGAUACCAGCUGGCUGCAACUGUUUAUUAAAAACACAGCACUGUGCAAACACGAAAGUGGACGUAUACGGUGUGACGCCUGCCCGGUGCCGGAAGGUUAAUUGAUGGGGUUAGCCGCAAGGCGAAGCUCUUGAUCGAAGCCCCGGUAAACGGCGGCCGUAACUAUAACGGUCCUAAGGUAGCGAAAUUCCUUGUCGGGUAAGUUCCGACCUGCACGAAUGGCGUAAUGAUGGCCAGGCUGUCUCCACCCGAGACUCAGUGAAAUUGAACUCGCUGUGAAGAUGCAGUGUACCCGCGGCAAGACGGAAAGACCCCGUGAACCUUUACUAUAGCUUGACACUGAACAUUGAGCCUUGAUGUGUAGGAUAGGUGGGAGGCUUUGAAGUGUGGACGCCAGUCUGCAUGGAGCCGACCUUGAAAUACCACCCUUUAAUGUUUGAUGUUCUAACGUUGACCCGUAAUCCGGGUUGCGGACAGUGUCUGGUGGGUAGUUUGACUGGGGCGGUCUCCUCCUAAAGAGUAACGGAGGAGCACGAAGGUUGGCUAAUCCUGGUCGGACAUCAGGAGGUUAGUGCAAUGGCAUAAGCCAGCUUGACUGCGAGCGUGACGGCGCGAGCAGGUGCGAAAGCAGGUCAUAGUGAUCCGGUGGUUCUGAAUGGAAGGGCCAUCGCUCAACGGAUAAAAGGUACUCCGGGGAUAACAGGCUGAUACCGCCCAAGAGUUCAUAUCGACGGCGGUGUUUGGCACCUCGAUGUCGGCUCAUCACAUCCUGGGGCUGAAGUAGGUCCCAAGGGUAUGGCUGUUCGCCAUUUAAAGUGGUACGCGAGCUGGGUUUAGAACGUCGUGAGACAGUUCGGUCCCUAUCUGCCGUGGGCGCUGGAGAACUGAGGGGGGCUGCUCCUAGUACGAGAGGACCGGAGUGGACGCAUCACUGGUGUUCGGGUUGUCAUGCCAAUGGCACUGCCCGGUAGCUAAAUGCGGAAGAGAUAAGUGCUGAAAGCAUCUAAGCACGAAACUUGCCCCGAGAUGAGUUCUCCCUGAC
rnacentral:rRNA from 1 species